rnacentral:lncRNA from 1 species
UGGCUUAGAUGUGAGAAUAGAACUAGGAGGGGAGACAUGAGUAAAUCCUUCACUAGUGUGUCCUACCUAAGCUUACUUGUUGGUCGGUUAUAAUAUAGGGAUAUUAUGUGUUUAAUUAACCCUUGUUUUAUAGCAAUUUUUAAGAAUGACAGCUGAGAACGUUAACAAUGGAGUGAAUGAGAUCGUGAAGACACCUCUAAUCACCAACCAGUAUAAUGUGAUGUCAGGCGAAGAAGGAAUUACAGAUAUCCAUGUUGUGAGUGAAAAAUUGAUAGUUGCACCCGAGAUAGUCGCAGAGGUAGCAGCUGAGAGUGAGGAAGAAGAGGAAGAAGAGGUACCUGAGG